UACGAAGGGGGCUAGCGUUGCUCGGAAUCACUGGGCGUAAAGCGCACGUAGGCGGAUUGCUAAGUCAGGGGUGAAAUCCUGGAGCUCAACUCCAGAACUGCCUUUGAUACUGGCGAUCUUGAGUUCGGGAGAGGUGAGUGGAACUCCGAGUGUAGAGGUGAAAUUCGUAGAUAUUCGGAAGAACACCAGUGGCGAAGGCGGCUCACUGGCCCGAUACUGACGCUGAGGUGCGAAAGCGUGGGGAGCGAACAGG
rnacentral:rRNA from 1 species